rnacentral:rRNA from 1 species
CUUGGUCAUUUAGAGGAAGUAAAAGUCGUAACAAGGUUUCCGUAGGUGAACCUGCGGAAGGAUCAUUAAAGAGUAAGGGUGCUCAGCGCCCGGCCUCCAACCCUUUGUUGUUAAAACUACCUUGUUGCUUUGGCGGGACCGCUCGGUCUCGAGCCGCUGGGGAUUCGUCCCAGGCGAGCGCCCGCCAGAGUUAAACCAAACUCUUGUUAUUAAACCGGUCGUCUGAGUUAAAAUUUUGAAUAAAUCAAAACUUUCAACAACGGAUCUCUUGGUUCUCGCAUCGAUGAAGAACGCAGCGAAAUGCGAUAAGUAAUGUGAAUUGCAGAAUUCAGUGAAUCAUCGAAUCUUUGAACGCACAUUGCGCCCCUUGGUAUUCCGAGGGGCAUGCCUGUUCGAGCGUCAUUACACCACUCAAGCUAUGCUUGGUAUUGGGUGCCGUCCUUAGUUGGGCGCGCCUUAAAGACCUCGGCGAGGCCACUCCGGCUUUAGGCGUAGUAGAAUUUAUUCGAACGUCUGUCAAAGGAGAGGAACUCUGCCGAUUGAAACCUUUUAUUUUUCUAGGUUGACCUCGGAUCAGGUAGGGAUACCCGCUGAACUUAAGCAUAUCAAUAAGCGGAGGA